GGAAUCUUCCACAAUGGACGAAAGUCUGAUGGAGCAACGCCGCGUGAGUGAAGAAGGGUUUCGGCUCGUAAAACUCUGUUGUUAAAGAAGAACGUGGGUAAGAGUAACUGUUUACCCAGUGACGGUAUUUAACCAGAAAGCCACGGCUAACUACGUGCUAG
rnacentral:rRNA from 1 species